rnacentral:rRNA from 1 species
GACGAACGCUGGCGGCGUGCCUAAUACAUGCAAGUAGAACGCUGAAGGAGGAGCUUGCUCUUCUGGAUGAGUUGCGAACGGGUGAGUAACGCGUAGGUAGCCUGCCUGGUAGCGGGGGAUAACUAUUGGAAACGAUAGCUAAUACCGCAUAAUAUUGACUAUUGCAUGAUAGUCAAUUGAAAGGUGCAAAUGCACCACUACCAGAUGGACCUGCGUUGUAUUAGCUAGUUGGUGGGGUAACGGCUCACCAAGGCGACGAUACAUAGCCGACCUGAGAGGGUGAUCGGCCACACUGGGACUGAGACACGGCCCAGACUCCUACGGGAGGCAGCAGUAGGGAAUCUUCGGCAAUGGACGGAAGCCUGACCGAGCAACGCCGCGUGAGUGAAGAAGGUUUUCGGAUCGUAAAGCUCUGUUGUAAGAGAAGAACGAGUGUGAGAGUGGAAAGUUCACACUGUGACG